GCGGCGUGCUUAACACAUGCAAGUCGAACGGAAAGGCCCUGCUUUUGUGGGGUGCUCGAGUGGCGAACGGGUGAGUAACACGUGAGUAACCUGCCCUUGACUUUGGGAUAACUUCAGGAAACUGGGGCUAAUACCGGAUAGGAGCUCCUGCUGCAUGGUGGGGGUUGGAAAGUUUCGGCGGUUGGGGAUGGACUCGCGGCUUAUCAGCUUGUUGGUGGGGUAGUGGCUUACCAAGGCUUUGACGGGUAGCCGGCCUGAGAGGGUGACCGGCCACAUUGGGACUGAGAUACGGCCCAGACUCCUACGGGAGGCAGCAGUGGGGAAUAUUGCACAAUGGGCGGAAGCCUGAUGCAGCAACGCCGCGUGCGGGAUGACGGCCUUCGGGUUGUAAACCGCUUUCGCCUGUGACGAAGCGUGAGUGACGGUAAUGGGUAAAGAAGCACCGGCUAACUACGUGCCAGCAGCCGCGGUGAUACGUAGGGUGCGAGCGUUGUCCGGAUUUAUUGGGCGUAAAGGGCUCGUAGGUGGUUGAUCGCGUCGGAAGUGUAAUCUUGGGGCUUAACCCUGAGCGUGCUUUCGAUACGGGUUGACUUGAGGAAGGUAGGGGAGAAUGGAAUUCCUGGUGGAGCGGUGGAAUGCGCAGAUAUCAGGAGGAACACCAGUGGCGAAGGCGGUUCUCUGGGCCUUUCCUGACGCUGAGGAGCGAAAGCGUGGGGAGCGAACAGGCUUAGAUACCCUGGUAGUCCACGCUGUAAACGGUGGGUACUAGGUGUGGGGUUCAUUCCACGGGUUCCGUGCCGUAGCUAACGCUUUAAGUACCCCGCCUGGGGAGUACGGCCGCAAGGCUAAAACUCAAAGGAAUUGACGGGGCCCCGCACAAGCGGCGGAGCAUGCGGAUUAAUUCGAUGCAACGCGUAGAACCUUACCUGGGUUUGACAUGGAUCGGGAGUGCUCAGAGAUGGGUGUGCCUCUUUUGGGGUCGGUUCACAGGUGGUGCAUGCCUGUCGUCAGCUCGUGUCGUGAGAUGUUGGGUUAAGUCCCGCAACGAGCGCAACCCUUGUUCACUGUUGCCAGCACGUUAUGGUGGGGACUCAGUGGAGACCGCCGGGGUCAACUCGGAGGAAGGUGGGGAUGACGUCAAGUCCUCAUGCCCCUUAUGUCCAGGGCUUCACGCAUGCUACAAUGGCUGGUACAGAGAGUGGCGAGCCUGUGAGGGUGAGCGAAUCUCGGAAAGCCGGUCUCAGUUCGGAUUGGGGUCUGCAACUCGACCUCAUGAAGUCGGAGUCGCUAGUAAUCGCAGAUCAGCAACGCUGCGGUGAAUACGUUCCCGGGGCUUGUACACACCGCCCGUCAAGUCAUGAAAGUUGGUAACACCCGAAGCCGGUGGCCUAACCGUUGUGGGGGAGCCGUCGAAGGUGGGACUGGUG
rnacentral:rRNA from 1 species